rnacentral:rRNA from 1 species
UACGAAGGGUGCAAAGCGUUGCUCGGAAUCAUUGGGCGUAAAGCGCACGUAGGCGGCUUCGCAAGUCGGAUGUGAAAUCCCUCGGCUACAACCGAGGGACGUGCCAUCCGAAACUGCGGAGCUUGAGUACUGAAGAGGAUCGCGGAAUUCCCGGUGUAGAGGUGAAAUUCGUAGAUAUCGGGAGGAACACCGGUGGCGAAGGCGGGCCACCUGG